rnacentral:rRNA from 1 species
CCUACGGGAGGCAGCAGUGAUGAAUAUUGGUCAAUGGCCGGAAGGCUGAACCAGCCAUGCCGCGUGAAGGUCAGUGCCCUAUGGGCGUUAAACUUCUUUUGUGCGGGAGCAAUAAUGGUCACGUGUGGCCAGACGAGAGUACCGUACGAAUAAGCAUCGGCUAACUCCGUGCCAGCAGCCGCGGUAAUACGGGGGAUGCAAGCGUUAUCCGGAUUUAUUGGGUUUAAAGGGUGCGUAGGCUGUGAGGUAAGUCAGCGGUGAAAUGCCCCCGCUCAACGGGGUGAAGUGCCAUUGAUACUGCCUGGCUGGAAUGCGGAUGCCGUGGGAGGAAUGUGUGGUGUAGCGGUGAAAUGCAUAGAUAUCACACAGAACACCGAUUGCGAAGGCAUCUCACGAAUCCGCGAUUGACGCUGAUGCACGAAAGCGUGGGUAUCAAACAGGAUUAGAUACCCGGGUAGUC